GUUUUCUGUUACACGACUAAAACUACUUUAGAAUGUACUGUACACCAUGUACACCAAAACAAGUUCCUUCCUGAUGCUAUUUUGCAGAGG